GCGGGCAUGGUGAAAUGGUAUCACAAGAGCCUUCCAAGCUUUUAGCGCGGGUUCGAUUCCCGCUGCCCGCUCCA
rnacentral:tRNA from 3 species